rnacentral:lncRNA from 1 species
GUGUGUUUGCGUUUGACUGUGGUUGCAACUUUAAUUACACCUUUGCACAUACACUUGUGUGUUUUGUUUUAAUUAGUCAAAAAGUUUUAAAACACCCAAUUCACCCCCCUCUUGGGUGACCAUCUCUGGGCAACAGAACAAAAAUGGGAUAAUGCAGAUGACUUCUAUCCCUUGAUCCUUGGACGUGGCAGUUAUCUUACGGAUGAUGAUUUGAGUCUAUCCGUGGCUGAUGGAGCUAAACUUCGGUUGAGCAGCUGAGAACGGAAGAACGGCUGGGACGCAAGCAUUUGAGAGGAUUUCGGAAGUUGGGAUCUGAUCAUUUCUUUCAAGCAUGAGAUCCUGUUCUGAAGCCGAGAAUGAUGCAGUUGCUUGUGAAUGGUUGGAUGCGGACGGUGGAUGCUUGAAUCUAAGGGAGAUGAUGUCUA